CCUAGUCUGCCCAUCAUAAGUUUCAGUGAUGCAUCAUUCGGUUAUCCGGGGGAGCCUACCUUGUUUAAGAAUUUGAAUUUUGGAAUAGAUCUAGACAGUCGACAGUUGAAUAUCGACUCCCCUGUCAAAGAGAGCUAAAGCUAGCUCAGUGAAGGUUAAUCUUUAUGUGAUCCCAUCAAGGUGAUAUAGGAGAUCUUGGAGAGUGCGGGAACUUAAGGAUCUAUCUAACUCAAUAGUCUGAGUCGGGGGUGGUGCCAUUCAGGGGGUAAAUGAUGUUGAUCUUGGUCAUGGUGGCCAAGGACCUUUAUUUGGUGUUUUGUGGUGUUUCCUCCCCCUCUUUUUAUCUC